rnacentral:lncRNA from 1 species
UGCAGAAAGGUCCCUGUGCACAGCUUUGGUGUUCCGCCGAAUAGGUGCUAUUUGGGCCGAAUGUGAGUGCCUUUUCCCCCCCCCCCCCCCCCCCCCCAAAGUAGAUGUGACUCCUAGAAAGGUUGUCGUGCGUUUUGACUUCAUAUAAUACCUUCACAUCCCAGCAUUCUUCAUUCAUUGAAAUCUAUAAGGCAAGCAUUAGAGAGUGCUAUAGCAUCCAUCAUUUUCUAGUUUUCAUUGAGAGAGAGAAGACACUUGAAGGUUCGACGUGAUCUUCUGAUUUGGAGUACUCCUAUUCGAAGAUGUUGCUGUUGGAUCCUGAGAAGUCGUACAACAUAUUCCAGUAAAGUACCAAGUGCGGGUUGUAAAAGACUUAAGACACUAAAUUAAUUCAGGCCUCAGCCAAUCAAAUUCUGCAUCCUUAAGUGCUUUGUUUAAUUAUAAAGCAUUUCUAAUUCUGUUCUUCUUCUUUUUCUAUUAUGAUUCAAACUUUAUGUUUUUUUAAACAAAAAGAAACUAAAUUUUCCUGCUAACAAUAAUUUACCGAUCUUAUAGAGUGGUAAAAAAGGGUUGUGACCAACAUGGCAAUGAUAUUAAUUUUUUUUUAUUUAGCAGUUAUCUUCGUUCAUACCAAACUAAGGUAUUCUCUUUAUAAUAAUAUAGAUAAAUAAAUACUACCGAAAUGAAAAAUUCCAAAAGCCCCCCCUAAACUUUUACCAAAAUAUAUCAUAAAUACCUAUCCUUUUAAAAACAUCAAAUUCAAAUUCAACCUUUUUAAAGAUUCCUCAAUUCACCCUUAACUCUCUUCAAAUUAAUUAUGGAAGUCCCCUAUGUGACAAAUGACCUGGUCUUGCCUUGUUCUCCUCAAUAUUUGCGGAGAACCAAAAGGACCCCAUCCCCCCCGGGCGCAGUGUGACCCUGGGAUAUAUGUAAAAAUCAAAAGGGGCGGCAAAAGGAUUAGGGCUCCCAAUUAGAGUUAGAGCUCUCUAAUUACCAACACUUAGUGAAAUUAGGGGUUCGAAGUCUUCAAAGGUCUAGGGUUUUGCAACAAAUUCAUCCUUGAACUUACAAGGGCUUGGCAAUUGAGAGGGAAAGUCGUUCUUCUUCCUUGAUAUGGUAUGUUUCACCAAAAAAUUGUGUGUUUUGAGUCUCAACUUCGAAUUCCUAGAAGGCAACUUUGUUUAGUGCGUCUGUUUACUUUUUUACCAAAUUUUAUCGUUUACCAGUGAUGUUGUCUUUGUGUUUUCAUUACUCUUGCAAAAAGUGAUUGUUUCAGUCAUUGUGUUGUGUGUUUGGUCUUGCUACAAAUUUAUCAUCUGGUCACUUUACCAUUAAAAUGCAUCUUGGGUGUAUUUAGGGUCCACUCAAAUGUUUUACCUGGGUUAAGUUGUUACAUCCCGAAUGCAUCACUUUACUAUUUUUAAGUUGUUUUAAAUUAUAAAUAUUUGGAGCAAUUUAUCAAAAAUAUAUAUAUACAAAAAAAAAAUCAAGAUUUUGACACAUUUGAUUUUUCAAGAUUUUGACAUGGGUUGGGUAUGAAAACAAAAAACAUCGGCGGUAGUUUCAUGACUUAAAAAUGUUUUAUUUUUUAUUUUUUGGGUUUUGAUUUUAUUUUUCCUCUUUUUGUUGAUAGGGAUGAGCAUAGGAAGUUAAUCAAUCAAUAAUAUUUUGUUUUUGAUAUCCGUCUGGGUUCCGGCCUUAAACGAGAGAUUUAAUUUGGGGAGACCAAUCAUUUUGUCCACUAAGGCCAUGUUGUGUUUGCACCGGACUAGGUCGUAGGACAACGAGUCCAGUCCAAGAGUCCCAUUGUUUGUUUACAUAAAAUGAUUCGAGACAAAUAGUCCAACGGACUAGAUAGUCCACAUACGUGGGACAUCCUGUUCCCGGUGGGGAGGUGCGGGCUAUUAGCGUUCUGACUAAGCCUAAGUUGGACAAAAUAGAUAAAUUACUAACUUUGCCCUCACACAUAUUGAAUAAUUUCUCUUUUUCUUCUUCCUCUCUCUGUCGUUUUUUUGUUAUUUUUUUCUUUUCUUUUUUUAUUAGUUUUUUUAAUAAUUUUUCUUAAUUUUUUUAGUAAAGUAGAGUUUUUUAUCAAUUUUUUUUUUGGGAUAAACAAGCUUUCUUUUUUGAAAAUUAACGUUUCUGAAAAAAUAUUUUUUUAAAAAAUAUUAAUCAAAAAAUAUUAAACAAAUAAUUUUGAAAUAUAUAUUUUAUUGAGACAAAUUUUUAGAAAAAUAACAAUUUUUAUUUUUUAUAAAAAUAAAGUUAUUUUUUUAAAAAAAAUAUUUUUUUUAGAAUAAUAAUUUUGACAAAUUAUUUUCAAAAAUUAAAUAAAAAAAUUUACAUUUUCAGUCUUAUUCUCGUAGAGAAAUCAAAAAAAUUUUAAAAAUUUUAAUCAAAAUCAGUCAAAAAUCACUAAGUAUUAAAUAAUAAUAUUUAAAUGAUAGUGAAAAAAUAUAAAUAAAUAAUAUAAAAGAAAAAACUAUUAUAUUUCUGAAAA